UUCCCUAUAGCGCAGUGGAUAGCGCGUUGGAUUUCUAAUCCAAAAGUACCGGGUUCGUUUCCCGGUAGGGACC
rnacentral:tRNA from 1 species